CAAAGAUUUUGACUCGCAGCUUUCAACUGACUACACAUUUUCCCCUUCUGCUUUUCAGGGCUCAGCUCUGAAAGCCAUCAACAGCUGGCCGAAGGUGCCAAGGUUCCCAGCUCUGUCUCCUACAUGACAGUUGCAGCAGCCUCUUACCUGGGUCAGGAGUUGCUGUUACCGCCAAAGCAUGAUGCUGUCGCAGCCAGGAUAGAAGAGUCUGCCCGGAAAAUCCUGGAGCAGAGCCAAAUGGGAAUGGCAAGAACGUGUUCCUGUGUGUUGCUGUGUCUUCAUCCAUCUCUGCCCCUAUUCCCAUGAUGCUAGGUGUUGGCUUCUCAGUGUCUCAAAAACACCCCACUGGUACUUGUUAGUCAGGUUCCUUGUAGAUUCCAUCAUCCCAGGGAUGCCAUCACCCAGGUACUCUCUGUUUCUCUGCACAUUGUGAACACUACCAGCUCUGCUCAACUACAUCAGUGGGAUGCCGUAGUUGUCUCCACUCUCCCGAACACCGACUUCAUUUAACAAG
rnacentral:lncRNA from 1 species